rnacentral:rRNA from 1 species
ACGACGCUGGCGGCGUGGAUUAGGCAUGCAAGUCGAACGGUAUCAUCCUUUCGGGGAUGAGAGAGUGGCGAACGGGUGAGUAACACGUAGGUGAUCUACCCUCAAGACGGGGACAACCCAGGGAAGCUUGGGCUAAUACCGGAUGUGAGCUAUCGUGAGAUAGUUUGAAAGGUGGCUUCGGCUGCCGCUUGAGGAUGAGCCUGCGUCCUAUUAGCUAGUUGGUGAGGUAACGGCUCACCGAGGCAGUGAUAGGUAGGCGGCCUUAACGGGUGGUCGCCCACACUGGGAUUGAGAUACGGCCCAGACUCCUACGGGAGGCAGCAGUCGAGAAUAGUCUACAAUGGUCGAAAGACUGAUAGUGCGACGCCGCGUGAACGAAGAAGCCCUUCGGGGUGUAAAGUUCUUUUAUAUGUGAGCAGUGACAUCUAUAUUAAUAGUAUGGGUGUAGAGAUAUUAGCAUAUGAAUAAGCAACGGCUAACUCCGUG